rnacentral:rRNA from 1 species
UGGGGAAUAUUGCACAAUGGGCGCAAGCCUGAUGCAGUGACGCCGCGUGAGGGAUGACGGCCUUCGGGUUGUAAACCUCUUUCAGCAGGGACGAAGCUUUCGGGUGACGGUACCUGCAGAAGAAGCACCGGCCAACUACGUGCCAGCAGCCGCGGUAAUACGUAGGGUGCGAGCGUUGUCCGGAAUUACUGGGCGUAAAGAGCUCGUAGGCGGUUUGUCGCGUCGUCUGUGAAAUUCUGCAGCUUAACUGCAGGCGUGCAGGCGAUACGGGCAGACUUGAGUACUACAGGGGAGACUGGAAUUCCUGGUGUAGCGGUGAAAUGCGCAGAUAUCAGGAGGAACACCGGUGGCGAAGGCGGGUCUCUGGGUAGUAACUGACGCUGAGGAGCGAAAGCGUGGGUAGCGAACAGGAUUAGAUACCCUGGUAGUCCACGCCGUAAACGGUGGGUACUAGGUGUGGGUUCCAUUUCACGGGAUCCGUGCCGUAGCUAACGCAUUAAGUACCCCGCCUGGGGAGUACGGCCGCAAGGCUAAAACUU